rnacentral:rRNA from 1 species
AUUGAACGCUGGCGGCAUGCCUUACACAUGCAAGUCGAACGGUAACAGGUUAAGCUGACGAGUGGCGAACGGGUGAGUAAUGUAUCGGAACGUGCCCAGUCGUGGGGGAUAACUGCUCGAAAGAGCAGCUAAUACCGCAUACGACCUGAGGGUGAAAGCGGGGGAUCGCAAGACCUCGCGCGAUUGGAGCGGCCGAUAUCAGAUUAGGUAGUUGGUGGGGUAAAGGCCUACCAAGCCUACGAUCUGUAGCUGGUCUGAGAGGACGACCAGCCACACUGGGACUGAGACACGGCCCAGACUCCUACGGGAGGCAGCAGUGGGGAAUUUUGGACAAUGGACGCAAGUCUGAUCCAGCCAUGCCGCGUGCGGGAAGAAGGCC